UUUACUGUGAAACACGGCCUGUGAUUGGCCAGCGGCGGCCACCAAUCACCUGUGGAGAGCCCCCUCCCCCCUCCCAGGGCAUGUGACGUCUCUAUCACCCCCUGUGAUUGGCUGAGGGUUUUCUACGUUCUAACGAGCUUGUUUCUCCAUUAGAUUCAUGCACAUCAAGGAGGGGGCGGCUGUGGCUGAGAGGUAGAAGGUCGGCGGCUCGAAUCCCAGCUCAUGUGGAAAUGUCCUUGGGCAAGAUACUGAACCCAGAGUGGCCCCUCAAAGAUGUUGAAUUCACUGAUUGGAAGUUGCUUUGAAUGACAUGUACUGUAAUGUAGCAUCAAUAACAGGCCUCUAAACACAACAAUACACAAAAUAGUAACUGCACAAUAACAACUUUACAAUGUCGGGACAAAUUGUUUUGAAUGUUUAUUCAAUAAAUAAUUUUCAGAAAUACAGAGUUGCAAAUGUGAAUGUGUUGUAGAAACUAAAAAAAGGCACUUAAAAACAAUGGUGACUGGUGUAACCUUUUUUUCUUUACAGAACAAAGAUCGGGGGAUCCUCCCCUCAUCAGUGAUCUUUAACACUAUGUGACUUUUUUUUGUAUCCAUUCCUAUUUCUGUUCAAUAAAAAAUUGUUUGAUCGAGGCACCGACAAAUGGCCGAGUGGAACUACUCACAUGUAAAAAAAAAAAAAAAAAAGAGAAACUGGUACCAUUACUCAGUUCAUGUU